rnacentral:lncRNA from 1 species
CACUGCAGCUCCCUAUCUAGAAACUAGUUCGUGUUGCAGAAUCAUUCUCUGCGAGGGACACAGCUGGACAAAUGCUUGGAGCUGACAGUGAGGAGCCUCUCCCAGCCAGGAUUUCAUCAAGGAUCCAGGACCUCAGAAGUGAGGACUGAGCCGGGGGCAUCCUCCCAGAAGGUCCAGAUAAUCCAGUUCUACUCCUGAUAACAGCUGUGGGAGAUCCCUGGCAGAGCUGUCAGACUGUGAGCCUUCCUCAAUCUGCCCUGGGGGUCUUCAGAGAGGAGGCGGACUUCCUGUCAUCCGGGGCUCGGAGAGACUUGGGAACUGGUAUAAAAGGCGGGGCUUCAGUUGGAUCGAGGAGAGAAUCUCGGGUCCUGCUUGGAGACAAGGAGCUCCAGGAACCAGGAGGUAAAGACUGA